UGGUGGUGGCAGUUCCAUAAAUAAGUACUUCCAUCUAAUAAAAAAAUAAUUUCACUUUUGUUAUUCUGUUUUUGGUAUUACUGACAAAUAAAGAUUUUAUGGGUAUUUUUGGCUUUGAAAAAUAUUCUAGUAAUUUUUCAAACGUUAGAUACAUUCUAGUAAUGAAAUGAAACUUUUAUGACUUUAUAGUAAGGGUUUUUAGUGAAAAAACCUCUCAACCAAGUUUGAAUCGGAUAGAAACCUCUCAACUAUUUUUGUAAUGCAAAAACCCCUUAACUAAGUUUUCGUAAUGAUUUAGCCCCUCUGAAAACAAUACCAUCAAAUCUUAACGGAUUACAGUUAAAUGAAAACGUGGUGUUUUGUAUUUUACAAAAAAAACGAAAUGACUUCAAUAAAAGAAAACUCAAAAUCGAUUUGAAACUAAAAAUCCCCAAUUUAUAAAUUAGGGUUGCUCAUUCAAUUUAAAAAUCUCUUAAAUUCUUCUUCUAAGUAAACUUGUUGGAAGAAGAAGAAGAACAAUGUUUUAAAGAUCAAAGUAAAACAGUUGCCUCAUCUUCUUCCAAGCUUCAGAUUUGUGAUUUUUUCUCCUCUUUCUCCCAAUUUGCGAAAAUAUUUCUCUCAGUUCACGGGCUUUUCUCUCAAAUUCGUUUUAAUCAACACAACAAAUCAUUUCCAAUCUCACCCAAUUGACUUCCAAACUAUAAAAACUACUUAGAAUCACACUUUCAAAAAUUAGAGUUCAUUAAUUUAGGUUUAAGAAUUUGGGAAUUAUAAAGAUUAGGUUUAAUUUGGAAUUUUUAUAUCUGGUUUUCAAAAAGCUUGUUGUUUAUAGUAAAAAUCAUGUAGUUUUUGCUAAAAAAGAACGAUUUGUUAAGAUUUGACGGUGCUGUUCACGGAGGGGCUAAAUCAUUACGAAAACUUAGUUAAGGAGUUUUUACUUUAAAAAAAUAGUUGAAGGGUUUUUAUCCGAUUCAAACUUAGUUGAGGGGUUUUUUCACUAAAAAUACUUAUAGUAAUUGUCUUUUUAAAUAUGGCUCCCUCUCUUUGUCUACUCUCUUCAUUCUUUUCCAUCGAAAUGAAGCCAUGUGCAUAAAAUUCUGAGAAUUUGCAUCCUUUGACGCAGCUUAACAUCAUAUUUGCAAAACUAACGUUACACUGUUUCCUGCACUGUUCAUUUUUUUUAUAUACAGAAAAGCCCCUACACAUUAGACUACAUCACCCUAAUCCUAUGUGAGAUAUUAUGUCAGACUACUAAAUAGAUGUAAUUAUAUCGAUAAGAAGAGAGAGAAUUUAUCUCCACUACAAUUUUCCAAACAAGUGUUUCGCUUCCCAAACCAAAUAGUAACUCUCAAUCUCUCUCAAAGAAUCGAUAUAUUAUCAGAAACUUAGCAAACAUCAUUCGCAAGAACAUAUCUGAUUUGGGUUUUUCACUGAUUACCAGCUCUGCGACUAUUCUAGCAUCAGGAUCGACACGGGCAUAGAUCAUCUCUCUCUCUCUCUAAAUCAGAUCUGCAUAUGUGCUUUUUUUACCAGUAUGGUUGGCUUCUCAACGGUGUCUCCUCGCGUCAAUUGGUGGUGGUAGAAGAGCUUAAGGGUUUCUCUAGAUAUAACUAGUUUGGGCUUACACGGCCCGAUUUUAUCGUGUUGGAUCUGCUUGGAGUUGACUUCUGGUUACAAAAAAUGUGCAUGAGGAUUAGUGGUCAGAGACUCGGCGCGGACAGCUUGACUGGGCUGGUGAAUUGGUCGCCAAGGUGAUUCUAUUAUAAUAGUAGAUACUUUAAUAGUUAACAUAUUUUGGAUAACAAAAUCUGUAAAAGAGUAAUAAAGUUUGGUUAUUGUAUUUGUUUCUGUUAACAAAGUAACAUAAUUAUUAUCUGAUAGUUUUAUUAUUAUUGUUGUUCACGAUAUUGAUUUGAACAUUCGUAAAUGGUAUGCUUAUAUGUAUAACAAAUAUAGUGGAUAGAUAAUUCCAAUGUUAACAAAGUAAUGUGAUUCUUAUCUGAUAACAUUAUUAUUUUUAUUAUGUUAAUGAUAUUGAUUUUGAUGAAUAACAAUGAGGUUACCAAUUUUUGUAUCAGAAAGUAAUAAAUCAGGUUUUGGUAAUUAAUUACAUAUUUACUAACAAAUUCAUUAUACAGAUAAUAAAUAUGUUGGAUAUCUAACAUCAAAGUUAUCGAAACAACAAAUUAUUUAUCGGUGAUAUUCAGAUGGAUAAAAUAUAUAAUAAAAUUGUUAAGGAUGCAUUUAUAAUGUUACUUUUGACGCAGCUAAUAUUGUAUCCAAAGAUGUGAAAUCUGUGAUAAUUGAUUAAUUACUUGCGUUAAUAAACUUCUUAUCAAACUAACUAUUAGAUUAUCAUUUAUGUUACCAUAAUUCUAAUAUAUGUGAUGUAUGCUAUAUAUGUUUUUGUUAGACAUAUCCAAGCGUUAUUAGUCUAUAACAUAUCAAUUAACAGCACCAACAUAAAAGUUAGAUGUAUGCACGUUUGUCUAAGCAAUUUUUUACAUAUCUCAGCAAUUCUUGCUCGCUUGAGUGGAAAAGUAUUGUGUAGUUGAUAUUAUAUGUAAAAAAAUAUCACAGAUAUUUGCCCCACCUAUACUCACUCUAUAAAAUUAUCAUGUUCCUUAUUACAAAAAAUUAACGCUUAUAUAAAAGAAAUUAAGAAGGGUUAUUUGGUAUUUUCUGCUAACCUUGGCAACAGAGAUUUUCAUUUGUUGUGGGGUUAUAGUUAGAUCCCCAAUUUUUUCAUGUCUCGUGAAUAUUAAUCUUAUUCACUCUAAAAUUCCUUUUAUUUGGCCGUCAAUUUGGCACAUAAAAGAUGAUCAUAUUUUGUUGAAUAAUCACGUGUAAUCUUUUGUCAUAUAUAUAUAUAUAUAUAUAUAUAUAUUCAUAAUUAUUUUAUUAAAUUUAAAAAACAAAAUGUAUUUGCAUGUGUUGUGUAUGCUAUUUAUUAGUUACUAAAUAAUUCAUACCAAAUAGCUGUUUAGAUGGCCAAAACCAUAAAACACACCUAAGUUGUCGAAAAAUCAAUCGAUAUAUUUACCUAAUAAAGAAAAACAAAAGCAAAAUUGACCUCGUUAUAAUUAGUAACUUCUAAAGUCUCCAAAAAUUAUUCUUACUAUAUAAUCCAUCUUAGAUCAACUCAACAUUCUCACCAAAUCAUCUCGUUUCAAACCACGAUACAACUGAAAGUUUGCAAAUCCACAUUAUAUAUUUACAUUAUGGCAACUCAAAUGUUGUUUUCAAUACAAGUCUCUCAUUCCAACAAGAUGGAUGUGUGUGUAAAAGAUUGUGUCACAAAUCAGUGCAUGAAAGCAUCAAAAAAAGCGACUCCAGCAAUAUGUGACAACCCUUGCAAGAUUAUUUGCAAUCCAUUGAAUAAUGAGCAAUACAUCGUUCGCCAACGACGUUAUAAUGAUCCUGUAAAAAGGUUCUGCAGAGCAUUUAGUUGGGUAUGUCGGUAAUUGGAAAGCUCGACCAACAAAUUGUUUUUUUUUUUCUAUGCACAAGUUAUAUACUGUAUAUUGUAUCAUUGGUUUAAUUCAUAUUUCAUUUAUAUAUAAUUAUUUUAUUAUAUAUAAAAAAUAAUAUCGUGCAGAGUAUCAGUUGAGAACAUCUAAACAGAUGAUUGCAAUGAACCGAUUUCACAUUAUUAUUUCUAAUUCCUUUUUUUCUGUGUAAAAAUUGUUUUAUUUGUAUAUGCAAAAUAUUUUAAGCCAAUUAGUAUGCUAUCAUAAUAGGUUCCAAAUGAAGAAAACUACAUUAUCCUCUUAGAAAAAAAAUCAAAUUAAAAGAGAUUAGCUAUGCUAAUGUAAAAAGAUAAUUAAGAAAUUAAGAGCGCUGUUUAUCGAGUUCGUCCUAACUAUUUUCUCUCGGGCAUUUUCCCCAAGAUAACCGCACAGUCAAUUUUCCGAUCAAAUCUCAUCUCCUCCGAUAGAUUUCUAUCUGUUUUUUUCUCCUCUUCAGCUUGGGGUUGGGUCGAGCCUUGCUUCGGCCUUGGCCGUGAGUCAAGCGCUGACAAUAUCUUCUUUCCUCCACCAUUUACUCUGCUUCGCUAAGUCUCUCAAAAUUCUGCUCUCUCUCAUCAUCACGGCAUCACCGGCACAGCAUCGGCAUCACUGUCUCGGCAUCCUCACCGUCUCACCUUCGCUCCGACACACCAUCACGCCAUCUUCCUCUUUUGCUGUCUCACUGCCUUGCCCUCUCUCCGCCCCAAAAUUCUCCGCCAUUACACUCUUUUGUGGCACACCCUUUAUCUUCCUGCCCCCGUCAUUGUCGAAUUUCUCACUAGAUAUGUUGUUGCUGCCGCUGCGUUUCUCUCCAAACUCUCUCAAGCAGAUUCGAGGGCUAUCUGCAUCGGAAAGUUAAGUUGGGAGCCUCUGACAAAGCAAUCGGCUUUGAGUUUUUUGCCACCGUGUUUGAAUCCUCCGGUGACAUCUAUUCCGGCGUCCUGUCUACCAGCAAAGCUCUCAGCGUUAGUAUAUCCUCCAAACUUAUGGACAUGAUCAUCUUCCCCGAAGCUUCAAUAGUGUGGGCCUAGUCCAACUUUUGGAUGGGCCUGCCCAAAUUGGUAUCUACAUGAUUUUUGGAUUUAAAGGCCCACAAAAAUUAAGGUUGUGUGAUCUUAUUCUCCACGCUGAAGAGAGCUGCUCGGGCAGUGAUUUAUUUUUAAGGACGGUUCUUUCCAGCGUUUUUCCGGUUAAAGAAACUUCAGGCUUCCUCGUCCGAGUCAAGGUAUUCAUCAUGGAGCAAAUCUCCAAAUCUAAUCUUGUUGGAUUCAUGUUUGUUUUCUCGCUCUGUUCAAACUUUGGAAAGUAUACAUUUUUUUUGCGCUAUGGGAUUUGCGGGGACUCAUCUCCUCUGUGUUUCAUCAAGUUGCAUAUCCUCAGAUUUUCAUUGCCGCCCCUUGACCCCCUCGGUUCUGAGCUGCCAAAUAAGUAUUUAGAGCUUCAAAUGCGGAUGGGCAAGUAUUAAGAGCUUCAAUUUUGGUUGGUAAUGGUAGUUGGCGAAAUUGAAGAUGAUGGCAUUUUCGUGAAUACUUGAUAUAUCGUAAGAUGGUUGUGUCUUUUUUAAAUUUCUUUAAAAAAUCGAUAAUUAUAAACAUAAUGGCAUUUACGUUAUUAUAUGUGGCUUUAGGGAGAUAGUAGAGAGAAAAUGGCUAAUGUUGAAGAGGGAGAAAAAAGAGGUUAGAUUUGCAUUUGACUUCAAUUUGUGGGUCAUAUGUGAAAGAAGCCCUAUAAGAUACAAAGUAAAUUAUAAAAAUAACAAAUAAAAAUAAAUAAACAAACAAAUUAAUAAAAAAGAGUCAAAAUUUUAAUUUUAAAAUAUUAAACUAUAAUAUCUAUAACCUAAACUAUAAUCUAUAAAUUAAAGAAACAAAUAAAACUAAGUCUAAAUCCUAAACCCAAAUAUUUAAAUUUUUUUAAAAAAUUAAAAAUAAAAACUAAAUUCUAAACCCUAAAUCUAAAUAUUAAAUUUUAAAAAAAAUUAAAAAAUAAAAAUUAAAUCUUAAACACUAAUCCCUAAACCCAAACAUUAAUUUUAAUAAUAUAUAUUUGGAUUUAGGACUUAUGAUUUAAUGUUUAUUUUUUAUUAUUAAAAUAAAUGUUUGGGUUUAGGGAUUUGGAUUUAGGAUUUAUUAUUUAUUUUUAAUUUUUUAAUAAAUUUAAUAUUUGAAUUUAUAAUUUAGGGUUUAGUUUUUAUUUUUAAUUUCUUAAAAAAAUUAAAUAUUUGGAUUUAGGAUUUAGACUUAGUUUUUAUUUUUAUAUAUUUUUUAAUUUAUAUAUUAUAGUUUAGGGUAUAGUAAUUAGAAUUUAAUAUUUGAAAAUUAAAAUUUUUGAUUAUAUUAUUAUUAAUUCGUUUAUCCAUUUUAUUUUUAUUUUUUUAUUUUUUUAAUUCACUUUAAAUCUUACAUGGCAUAUUUUGAUUGGUUAUAAUAGAAGGAGGUGAACAUAGAGGUUCACCCUGGAUAGAGCACUUGGAAACGAAGAAUAUCUUUCUAUUUUCCCCCACUCAUCUGCGGAGUACUUGAAACUCUGAGGAUCAGAUCAUCGACCAGUCCUAACUAUGAUAAAAUCUGACACUUCAAAGAAGAAAAAAAUCAUUUCGUUUUGAUAAACGAUGGAUUGGAAAACCAGGAUUCAAAGAGAUACUCAUUUCCGGGUUGGGUCCUUUUGAUGGAAUUUCACGUCGAGAUAUCCACCCGAAAGUGUCACAAUGCCGGAAAAACAUCUCCAUCUGGAAAAAAUCCAACUAGACUAAUUCGAAAAGAUGAUCGAAGAAUUAAAUCAAUUGGACUUUGUUCAAGAUGAUGAUGAUACAACGCUAGAGGAAAUUAAAAACAUUAGGAGAAAACUCUGCAAUGCCCUCCGGGAAGAAGAAAUCUUUUUAGCAACAGAAGAGCCGGAAAAAUGGCACAAGAACGGAGAUAAAAACACAAAAUUCUUUCAUGCUCUCACUAAGCAAAGGAGAGCCCGAAACCGUAUUGUCUCUCUCAGAGAUAACAAUGGACAAUUGGUGGAAAAUGCAAGAGGGAUUGAACGGGUGGCCUCCACGUAUUUUCAAGAGCUCUUCUCCUCAUCUAUUCCCUCUGACCUGGCCAUUUCGCUCCGGUUUAUCACCGAGAAAGUAUCGAAUAAUGCAAACCAAUUACUACUGAAGGAUCCAACCGAAAAAAAAAGAAAUAAAGGAAACCAUUUUCGAUAUUAACCCGAAUAAGGCUCCUGGGCCUGAUGGAAUGACACGUAAAUUCUACCAAAAAUUCUGGCCUUUCCUACGCCAGGACAUAGUAAAACUUGUCAAAGACUUUUUCAACGGAACUUUUGACCAUAGACUCAACCAGACCAACAUUUGUCUAAUUCCGAACAAAACAAACCCAAAGCGAUGACAGAAUUUUGCCCAAUCAGUCUCUGUAAUGUGAGUUAGAAGAUCAUAUCAAAACUUAUGUGUAAAUGGCUCAAAAAGACACUACCAAACAUUAUCUCGGAAACACAAUCGGCCUUCAUGGCUAGAUGGCUUAUAACUAACUACAUCUUGUUAACCCAAGAAAACUUUCAUGCAAUUCGUACCAAUCCCAUUUGUAGAGAAAACUUUAUGGCUAUAAAGACUGAUAUGAGCAAAGCUUAUGAUCGGGUUGAAUGGAGUUUCAUUGAAGCCCUCCUGAUUAAGCUAGGUUUCUCUGCAAGAUGGGUUGAGUUACUUAUGUUUUGCAUCUCCUCGGUCUCAUAUCAAGUCCUUAUUAAUGGCAAACCAAAAGGACACAUUAGACCAUCAAGGGGAUUAAGGCAAGGAGAUCCUCUCUCCUCGUUUCUCUUUAUUUUGUGCACAGAAGGCCUUAUUUCCCUCCUCAAAGGUGCUGAGGAAGAAGAGCGUAUUUCUGGGCUGAAGGUAGCCUAAGCAAGUCCUCCAGUGUCCCACCUACUUUUUGCUGAUGAUAGCCUGUUUUUUCUGUAAAGCGACCAUUCAUCAUCAGGGGGCAAAGAUUCUCAGAAUAUUAAACACUUACAGAACGGCAUCGGGACAAUAACUCAACCUGGGCAAAUCAUCCAUCAUGUUCGGAAAUAGAGUGGAUCCGAAUCAAAAACGAGCUAUUAAAAAUACUAUCGGUAUCUGGACAGAAGGUGGCUUGGGUAUGUAUCUUGGUCUCCUUGAACAAAUCUGCGUAUCAAAGAAGAAAGUCUUCUCAUUUGUCCAUGACCGCCUAAGCACCCGGGUUAAUAAUUGGUCUGCAAGACUUUUCUCCAAAGGCGGAAAAGAGAUUCAGAUCAAAUCAGUGGCUCAAGCCGUUCCGACCUACGUCAUGUCUUGUUUUCUUCUUCCACAGGGGAUAAUAGACAAGCUACGCAGCGCCAUUGGCAAUUUUUGGUGGAGUUCGAAACAAAAUAGCAGUGGAAUACAAUGGAUUGCUUGGGACAAGAUUUGCAUUCCCCAGGAUAUGGGAAGCCUUGGAUUUAGGGACCUUAAUGAUUUUAACCUAGCUCUGCUAGCUAAACAGCUAUGGAGAAUCAUUCAGUAUCUGAAUUCUCUUCUGGCCCGAGUGCUAAGAGGAAGAUACUUUCGACAAUGGGACCCAUUAGAGGACUGAAAUGUCUACUCACCAUCUUAUGGAUGGAGGAGUAUGUUGGUCGCCAAACCAUAUCUCAAAUUGGGACUCAAGAAGACAAUCGGGUCGGCAUUGAACACUAGAGUUUGGAGUGAGCCUUGGAUUCCCGAUGCCAGUGCUCGAGCUCCAAGAGUAGCCCCCCAGAUCGGCUUUCAAGAUCCAGGAAUGUUAGUAUAUCACCUUAUCAACCAAGAUACAAAACAGUGGGAUGAGUCUCUCCUGAGAGAGUGCUUCCAACCUGAGGAUGUCUCGCUUAUCCUUGGGUUGAGACCUAGUAGGAAUCGUACCCUAGACGGAUAUGCAUGGAACCACACUAAAUCAAGGAUAUAUUCGGUUAAAACGGGGUAUGAUUUGAUUAGAAGAGCGAAGCUUGCACAAAAUUCAGAGGACGUGGGAGAACCAAGUAUCACAGCCCUUCAAAGUUAUGUUUGGAAAGUACGUACACCUGAAAAAAUGAAACAUUUCAUGUGGCAAGCUUUAUCAGGAUGUAUUGCUACUUGCCAAAACCUGACUCGCAGGCAUAUGGGAUCGGAUAGGCGUUGCCCCUGCUGCGGGAACCCUGAAGAAUCUAUUAACCAUCUUCUAUUCUUAUGUCCCCCGGCUUUACAAGUCUGGGCGUUAUCGGACUUUCCGUCCCUUCCGGACCUCUUUUCGAGUACCUCUAUUUACCAAAAUAUGAGCUUCCUCUUUUGGCAAACAAAAGAGAUAGGCAUGACAGAUCCACAAAAGGAUGUUUAUCCUUGGAUUGGAAAGCGAGGAACGACAAGAUCUUUAACGGGAAAGAAAUUUCCCCGGUAGAUACUUUAAUCCACGCAAAAUUCGAAGCAGAAAGCUGGAGGAGUGCAAGCAAACCGGAAGAAGACGAGGACGCAAUAGAUGAAACUACUACCAUUCCUUUAACUCCGAUAUCUCUACCUGAUGACCAGAGGUUCCCGAUUUGCUAGGUCGAUGCAUCCUGGAUAGAGAACGGCAUCGUUAGUGGGCUCGGGUGGUGCCUGAAGAAGGAGAGGAAUGAUGAGAUUUUUGGUCUUCAAGGCUGCCGCAGAAGUCUCUCGGUCUUUCAUGCCGAAUUGGAGAGCCUCUUAUGGGCAAUGUCUUGUGUGAGAGAUAGACAGAUCUUAUCCGUCCACUUUUAGACCGAAUGCUUGGAUCUGGUAAACAUGGCAGAAUCCCCAUCAGAUUGGCCAUUCUUCCUUUCAGAGUUGGAAAUCUUCCGGAUCCUACGAGAAAGCUUUUUGGACUUCUCUCUCUCCCAUAUUUCCAGAAGUUCAAAUAUCCGAGCGGAUAAUCUUGCGAAAAAAGCUCGAGUAAAAGGCUUUAUAUUUUCCCAAAUCAUUCAUAAUGAGCCAGUUAAGGGGGUCUUUCGAACCAUUCCCUUAACAGACCAAUAGUGAUUGGAUAUUGAAAAAAAAUAAAAAAUAAAAAUAGUUCACCCUUAAGAAUGAACCAAAAAAUUGUUCUUUAUAUAAUAUUAUUUCUCUUUCUGUUCAUCAUGAAUAUCAUUAACAUAUAAAUGUUAGGAAUCACUUCCAAAAUAAUGUACUCUAAACUUACAAUCCUAUGGUAAGUUCAGAGUCUUAAGCUAACUGAAAAUUGACUAUUAUAACUUGAAGUUUGAGCUAAUUGUAAAUGCCUAUAACCUGAAGUAGUUUCAUUGCUAAGUGAUUAAAAGUCUGAGAAUUUUUUUUAAUGAUCUCAUUACUAAAUCACUAAAAGUCGGUUUUGCUAUAUCAGGAACUUCAACUCAUGUUAGAUAAGAUUUUUUACGAGCUAGCCGGUGAUUAGAUAUGUUAACCGUUACAUGUAUCUUUGAAUGUAACUUCAACUCACUCUCUUUGAAUGUUCUUCAGAGUUGAUUCGUAAUUUAGUAGUAUAUGUUUACGUUUAAUAUACCAGCUAGUGUUUAACAUCAAGCAAGAAGAAGUCGAGACAAAAUAAAAAGGGAUAUAAUAGACAUCAAGAAAAAGGAAUUCAAUACACUAAUAAUCAAAUAGAAUGAGAAGGGAAGCCACAAAAAUAUCUCCAAACAAAAUAUCCUGAUCUCCAUCUCAACUCUCAAUAAUAUCCUCUCCAAAAGAUAAUAAAUCCCAAAAGAAUUCAGUCCCCAAAGUAAUAACAAUGGAACAAAACAUAGACGACAUAAAAAUAAAUGCAAGGAAACACCGCAUGAAAGACUCCUUGCUUAGAUCAUAAACCAGACAAGAACAGAUCCAAGUACCAAGCUCGAAACUGUCUUGCUCGCUCCAUUCUGCAAAACAUAAGAUUUUGGAAUCAACAUUUCAUUUUACCCGUUACAGAAGCAUGAUGUUACUUUAUUUCGAAAAUGGGACUUAUUUAGAUAAAUUAUUUAAUAUGGGGUUACUUUUGGAAAGAUUCUAAAAUCUAGGGGUCCUAACUUAAAGUAAUCUUCGACAGCAGAUUUAGGAGAAUCCUUUUUUAUGCUUUUGACUAUUUUAUUUUAUGACUAAAACCUCCAGAUUUACUUUUAAAACAAUUGUUGUUGGUUCCGACAUAACAACACGUGGCAGUUAUUAAUUUGUUCACGUGCAUACUGACAAACUCACGUGACUUUUGCACCCCACGCGCCACGGCACAAGUUCGAAGAUCUCGAGACAGAUGCAGCAAGCAACGGUCCGAAGUAGGCAAACCCGAUACCGGCGCACAUUAGCAUAAUCUAUGCUAAAUUGCGCUUACCAUGCAGAUCAAACUCAUUACGGCGCACAUUAGCAUAAACUUUGCUAAACUACCACUAAUCAUGUAUUCUAAACUCAAAAGUGUUAAGAUUGGUUUAGAUCUAAUCAGUGAUUAACCAUUGUUACUUAAUUAACAAGUUUCAAAGUCAAAACAUCUCAGAUCUGAAACGCAUUGUUCAAGAUCUACUCAAAGUGAAACAGAGAAGGAAGAGUUUAAGGACCUGGUCAUUCGAAUCGAUGGCAGGUCCUGGAGAUAGAGAAUCGAUGCUUGGUCCCGGAGCAUCAGUCGCCGGAGAAGGAGGGCUUGAAGACGGCGACGGAGAAGGAGAAUCUGGCUUUUUGGUCGGAGCAGGAGCUGGAACUUGAGCGGGAGGGGAAGCGAGAGGAGCUGGAGGAGGAGUUGAGACGGGAGGAGGAGUAGCUGGAGGAGGAGAUGCGACUGGAGGAGGAGUAGCGGGAGGAGGAGAUGCGACUGGAGGAGGAGGAGAUGCAGGUGGUGGAGAAGAGACUGGAGGAGGAGUAGCCGGAGGAGGAGCGGUGGUGACUGGAGGAGGAGAAGUGGUGACUGGUGGAGGAGCUGAGACAGGAGGAGGAGUCAUUGCUGGUGGUGGAGUUGUUGGAGUCGGUGGUGCUGGUGUAGCGGUUGGUGGUGAAGACGGAGCUUGACCUCCGACGCCGGCGACGAGGACGAUACAGAUCGCAACGAUAACAAAUUGCCUACCCAUUCUUUUUUA
rnacentral:lncRNA from 1 species